rnacentral:lncRNA from 1 species
UUAGAUUGCAGAGACAGAGAGCCAUUCCACUCCUUCAGACAUUUCAGUUGAGCUUCAGCCAUCAGGUCUGAACUCUCUGGCAAGUCACGAUAAUGGCCACGACCCCACUCCACUCCCUGUAAUAGAUUUCAUGUGACCCCACCACUCUCUGGCAAGUCACGAUAAUGGACACCACUCCACUCUCUAUAACAAACUCCAUGUGGUCCUGAACGGCCCCCUGACACCACUACUCUCCGUAACAAACUCCGUGUGGCCCUGAACAGUCCACUACC